UCACUCUCUUUUCUUUUCUCUUUUUCUUUUUCUUUUCUUUUUCUCUUGGCCUCUCUUUGUGCAAAUUCAUCAUGGGACUUUUCAAGUUGUAUUUGGUCUUCAAAAACUUAUUUAGGGGUUAAAAGAAGAAGAGUAUACUUUUUGCCCUCUUUUUCUACCAUGUACCUAUUGAGAUACCCAUCAUGCAUCACUCUCCUAUCCCAUUAUCAUGGUCUACCCAACAAAAUAUGACUAGUUUGCAUAGGAACUACAUCACAUG
rnacentral:lncRNA from 1 species